rfam:Gorilla gorilla gorilla genomic chromosome, chr7, whole genome shotgun sequence
GCCGGGCGUGGUGGCUCAUGCCUGUAAUCCCAGCACUUUGGGAGGCUGAGGUGGGCGGAUCACCUGAGGUCAGGAGUUCGAGACCAGCCUGGCCAACAUGGUGAAACCCCGUCUCUA